rnacentral:rRNA from 1 species
CAGCAGCCACGGUAAUACCGGCGGCCCGAGUGGCGGCCACUAUUAUUGGGCUUAAAGCGUCCGUAGCCGGGUUGGUUAGUCUCCCGGGAAAUCUGGCCGCUUAACGGUCAGAAUUCCGGGAGAUACUGCCAGCCUAGGGACCGGGAGAGGCCGAGGGUAUUCCCGGAGUAGGGGUGAAAUCCUAUAAUCCCGGGAGGACCACCUGUGGCGAAGGCGCUCGGCUGGAACGGGUCCGACGGUGAGGGACGAAGGCCAGGGGAGCAAACCGGAUUAGAUACCCGGGUAGUCCUGGCUGUAAACGAUGCGGACUUUGUGUCGGACAAGCUAUGAGCUUGUCCGGUGCCGGAGGGAAACCGUUAAGUCCGCCGCCUGGGGAGUACGGCCGCAAGGCUGAAACUUAAAGGAAUUGGCGGG